AUUGAACGCUGGCGGCAGGCCUAACACAUGCAAGUCGAACGGUAGCACAGAGAGCUUGCUCUCGGGUGACGAGUGGCGGACGGGUGAGUAAUGCCUGGGAAACUGCCCGAUGGAGGGGGAUAACUACUGGAAACGGUAGCUAAUACCGCAUAACGUCGCAAGACCAAAGUGGGGGACCUUCGGGCCUCACACCAUCGGAUGUGCCCAGAUGGGAUUAGCUAGUAGGUGGGGUAAUGGCUCACUUAGGCGACGAUCCCUAGCUGGUCUGAGAGGAUGACCAGCCACACUGGAACUGAGACACGGUCCAGACUCCUACGGGAGGCAGCAGUGGGGAAUAUUGCACAAUGGGCGCAAGCCUGAUGCAGCCAUGCCGCGUGUAUGAAGAAGGCCUUCGGGUUGUAAAGUACUUUCAGCGGGGAGGAAGGCGGUGAAGUUAAUAACUUCACCGAUUGACGUUACCCGCAGAAGAAGCACCGGCUAACUCCGUGCCAGCCGCCGCAGUAA
rnacentral:rRNA from 1 species